UCGGUCUCUCCUCUAAUUCCUUCCAUAAAUAUCGGUCGGAUCCUAUAAAGCUGGCGAGUUGCAGACGGAGCUAGCGGGCGAGGAGGCCGGUCCGCCACCUGAGGUAUCACCGGCGGCCAGAGUCGCUGCCCUCAGCAGGCUGACGAGUCGCGCCCCAAAUUCCCCCGAGCCACGCCUACCGCGGUCAUCAUCCUCGAGGCCUCCGUUUCUAGACGAGGAGGAGGAUCCCAUUGGGUGCUUCAUCCCUCUCACCCUACCGUCUCCGCCACCUAUCGGAUCUCUGGCGGCCGGAGUCGCUGUUCUCAGCUGGCUGAUGAAUUAGCCCCAAGCUCCCCCGAGCCACACCUGUCGCGGUUAGUCGUCCUCGAACCAUCGGUUCCCAGCAACUGAUUUAGAGGCUCCACCCCCGCCGGCCCUGCUCCUACCCCGAGGAUGUACUCCUCCGUGCCGAACUCCACCCAUCUCUUCCUCUUCCUCAGCCACGGACAUACAUACAUGGAUACACCACGAGUCCACGAACCCCUCCAAUUCGAGGCGGCCACUACGCAGAGGACGUCGAAGCACACGGGAGAACCUCCAUCAUGCUCCCCUUCAGACGUUUAUCCGGAAGCAACCCAGCUCUUCCCCCUGACACUGUAGCCCGACCAGCGGUGGCUCGGUGACGACGAAGACUCCUUGUUCGUCAUCGUGGCACCAGCAGGUCAGCGAGCACGCAAGCCCUGCGUGGACGAUCUCAGCGGCAGGUCCGGUGCCUCCUUUUCCCCCUUUCUCUGUUCCACCUCGCCGGGCCUCUCCUCUGCCCGCAUCCGGCCGCCCUCCUCCUGCACGCCCGCGCCUCCUUUCUCUCGGCUCUGCUGCAAAUGGCAGCAGCAGCAGUACAUCCUUCUGUGCGCCACCUCGCUCCGACCACCGCUGCUUGUUGCUGCGUCCGGCUGGCCUCCUCACAGCCACCACCGACCACGGCCCCCCUGCUGCCUUCACCACUCUGAUCCUAUUUUUUCUCUUGUCCCCGCUGCAUCUUGAGGAACAACGGGGAUUGCAGCUUUGUGCGAUGCAUUUGCACAUCACAUGUUUGUUGAAAUAAGCUAAUAGUGACAUCUUCUUUCCAGUUUACCUGAACUUUUUUCUGUGUUGUCAGGGGAGGAGAUGGUUUAUUUAAGUUUCUUUCUCAAUUCCUAAUUAUAUCAGGUUCAGAAUUAAUAAGUUGUAAGAACUAUUUGUGCGUUUGGAAGAGAAGAGCUAUGGUCACUUCAGAUAAACUGCUUUGGCAAAUUCUUUUGGCAGCAUAAUUUCCAUGCAAUAUGUGCUUAGCUACUUGGGUAUGUUUGGUUCAUGAAUACUAGGACCAAGAAGGAGCAGAUGAUACUUUAUUAUAUAUACGAUGCGAGUUAAUGAUGAUUUCCUAUACUUAAAUUAUGUAGAGAUGCGAAGGUAAAUAUUGCUAUUAUCUUUUAUGGUGCUACUGGCAUCGCAUUGCUCAACUUACUGAUACAUAAAUUAGUUUCCUGUAGUGUAAUACUUGAGUCCUUGCAUCUUCAGUUAGUUCUCAACACGGAAUCCACUAAAUCCAUUCAAGAGUUAAAGAUCCUUUUAUGUUUAUAGAAUUUUAGUGGAAUUUCUUGUCUGCUUGGUUGCUAGAUAUUCUUUUACUUUUUCCAUGGUAUAUAAUAAGAAAUAAUCUUUUUUAUUAGCUUAUGAUCAUGGCUCAUGUAUAUUUACAAAGUACUUUCACUGAGUUUUCCUUGUCAAUGGUCCGAUAUAUUUACUUUGUAUAAGGUGCGCCGAAGGGUCGUUUGAAGGACCGAGGGGCCAACUAGAGCUCAUGUAUGGUAGUUGGGGCAUGUUUUUUUUUCUCAUGACGCGUCUAUUGAAUUUUCAUUAUUCUCCCAGUUUGAUUAAUGUUUUUUGGUUGCUUAUUAGUACCACAUAUUUUGUGUUGCAGUUAUAUUUCUUGUCGUUGAUCUGACAACGUUAUACAUUUUAAUGCAGUUGCUCCAUUCACUAGGUUUUACUGAUUUAGCCGGGACAUGCCCAACUAUUGCCUUUGGAAUGGAUGAUGAAAAUCUUACCAAAGAGCAUCAGAGGUGCAGGCGGUAGCUUGGUCGAGGUGUGCACAUGUAGUGGACUAGGAUGGGAAGGAAGGAGGCCGGCGCCAAGGAGGAAGAGCAUCGGGGACGAAGGAGAACUACAACGUGGUGAAGGCAAGGGCUGGACUGGUCGGCGCUGCAUCGUGGGGAAGACAAAGGGGUGGAGUGGCCGGUGCUGCGUGAGGGUAGAAGAUGAUGGGGAAUUCUAGAGAUGGGAAACACUCUAUUGCUUCACUGUUACUACUUGCUGCUGGUGUCAAUUUAUUUGAUACUACUGAUCUCUACGGAGAAAUUGGGGAUGCAAGUUUAUCACAUGCACGCUCAUGUACAUCUGCUUAUGUCUUACCAAAAUUUUGCUUGCUCUAUGUUUUGCGAGCUCAGGCCAGACAUCACACUGAGUUUUUUUUUGUUUUUAAAUUCACUUUACUUAGUAUAUGAACUAAUCCUGAAUGGAAAAAAGUUUGUGCUGA